UUCUGGCUUCAAACAGUUAUGCUAGAUGUAUAUGAAACAUAAAUAAAUUUCAUACUUAAACUUGGGUCCCAACCCCAAGAUACCUCAUUAUGUAUAUGCAAA